UAUUUUACGCAUGUGAAUUUGGUUUUAUGCACGUGAAUUUGGCUAUGCAUGUGCACAUCGUGUCUUUUGUGUGAAUUUCUUUUGAGACUAAUCUGGUUCCAUAUUUUAAUUGGCUAAUUAGAUAUUUACAUAGGAAGCGUUUGACUAACUGUACCUGAUAAAGUGGCCAAAAUGUUACUUGUGGUUAAGAAGCAGAACCAUCUAGUGGUUAACAAAGGAACUAAAACAGAGUUCCUCAUGCCUUAAACCCAGACCAUAUCCCAUGGAGACUGUUCUGUCACAGAAUAGCUGCAAAGCCAAUUGGAUGAUUUAAGUCAUCAAAUAAAGCUUGUUUAAAUAGUAGGUUGUACCAUUUCUAACAAAACUCUACUGACAUGCCGUCGAGUGGCAUUUUCUGCUUCCUGCACUUACUGUUUGUGAUGUACAAUGGAGGCCUUGUUAAGAAUCACACUCGUCUGUGUUUGUGUCCGAGCUCAAGAUUAUCAUAAAUAUGGACUGAUUGGGGCGAGUGGUGACGCAGAUCAGGAAGAUUUUAUUGUCCAGUUUGAUGAUGAACAGUUGGCACACGUGGACUUCAAAGAGCAAAAAGAUGUUAUUACAUUACCUGAAUUUGCUGAUCUAGCUGUGUUUCAGCCAUUAUAUGUGGAUGCUAAAAGGGUGUAUGCCAGUUCACCUGAAGUACUUGAACCUCCCUUGAGCUCAAUUUAUCCUAAAAGUGAUCCACAAUUAAAUGUCAAGAACACUCUGAUCUGUCAAGUGACUGGAUUCUUCCCUCCACCGGUCAGAGUCUUGUGGACCAAGAACAAUGUGAAUGUGACAGAUGGAUCAACUAUCAGCAGAUAUUACCCUAACAAAGAUGGCACAAUGAACGUCUUUUCUUGACUGAGCUUCAUUCCUGAGGAAGGAGACAUUCAUAGCUGUUUAGUGGAGCACAAAGCCCUUCAGCAACCUCAGACCAGAACAUGGGAUGUGGAGGUAAAGCAGCCCAGCAUUGGUCCAUAAGUGUGGAGUUGGUCUUGCUCUCGGGCUACUGGGUUUUGCUACUGGGGUCUUUUUCACCGCAAAAGGAAACAACUGUAACUACUAAUUAUCCUGAAGCAGACAAAGUGGUGCACAUAUAAAAUGUACAUACUGUAUAAACUCAUGUGGGAAACAGAAAACAAUUCUUUAUUCAUUGUAAAGUGCAAGGGCAAAAGAGGUUUAGAGGUUUCUCUGAGCAAUCUACUGGAAUCAUUGGUCUAGUACCUUAAAAGUGACUAAUAUUAAAAUUCUAAAAGUCUCACAUGAUGGUAUAGGGAAGUUUGUUGACAAAUGCAGAACAUAUUCUGCUGAAUGCAUAUACUGUAAAUAUAAAUGUUGUAAACUGACACAUAUUUUUCAAUCAGACAGUAAAUAGAUAUUAUUUUAAUAUGCAAAUAUUGCUUUAGUUUGAUAUUUGAUGUAUUGUCAGGUGUUUCAGAGAGACAUCUUGUUUACCAGAAUAUACUUAAUGCUGUAAUUUAAAUAAAAAAUAUUCAAAAGAAUGAGCAAGAACCUAACCAGUCAGUCUUCAAAUCUAUCUUGUUACCUUAGCCUGAUUUAUAAGCAUGCGAUAAUGCUUUCCAAUUUGAGUGGCAGAUUUCCAUCUUUGUUGUCUUAUUGUACAGAAGGACUUAUAUAGACAGAUAAAGGCUACUGUGACCCUGUGUAAGGGUCAUUAGCCUUUUCUCACAGCAGCUGGAAUAAAUAAAUGUAUCAAUAUGAAUAUUGGAUUGUAUGACAAUUAGAAAUGAUAGACUGUGUAGAUAAGUUGCAAUUCUACACGUAACGCUAAACGCACUAUGAAAUGCUGAUGUCAUUAACAGUAACCAAUUGAGAAAUAUAGCUAAUAACAUAAAAAUACCAAUACCAAUUUGCAUGGUUUGAUGUGCUAAGCAAUUAAUCAGAUAUUAACACAUAACAGAGCGAUGUUUAAAUGACAUAUCUGCCAUAAAUAUUGCUUGUUUAGAUUACUUUUUGCGAAGAAAAUCCUUUUGGGUUAUACAGUAUUUCCAAGAAAAUUAAUCUGUUCUUUAAAUGUGUACAGUAUCCACACAGCUACACAUACUCCUUGAAACAUCAGACUCAUUAGCAUUGAAGAGCUUCACCGUAAAGACCAUGUCAAGAUGAUCCUUCUGCUUUUAAAAGCAGGUUUCUAAAAGUAAUGGAGACCGAGAUACUUGUAGACUGCCGUUUUAAAGAAUUGAAAUUCACAUUUUUGGCACAUACAGUCCUUUUUGGGGGGUGAGAGGGUGUCCUGUACACCUAUAUUUGGAAAAACCCGAAUAACCAACCAAAUGAUCAGCUCAUUUACAUACAAGUCUAUUUGCCAGCAACAACCACAGAACUUUCGCUUCACUGUUGUUCAGCUACGCAGCUGUGAAAAAUCUCAGUGUGUUACUUGAUCACAUGUUGUUUUGUGGGUCAGUCAUACUCAUAAGCUGGAUUUUCCAGUUUGAUGAAUUGAGAUGCCAAACUAGACUGGGAUUGGUUUACUGGAACUGCGCACUGUCUCAUUCCAUCUAAAAAAACCCACUGAAUUACAGUGUAUGAUCUUUCAAUACACCUGGCCUUAUAUCCCAAACAUAUAAACUUUUAAGUUAAUUCUUAAAGUUAAAUAAACAAGACUUGUGCUGGGAUGAUUUCCUGCACAUGAGUCAGUUUGUUUUGAGUUAAACUACAUUGCUUUCACAAGCACUGACUCGGUUUUACAUAGACAAUAUUAUCUUUACUCUGGGAUUAACACUCAUAAUUAAUACACAGACUUAUUUAAAUAGUAACUCAAAUCUCUUACAAGGUCGCAGACAGUAGACUUUUAUUGGGCACAUAGCCCACUCCAGUAAAUGAGACAUAAAAUUUCUGUUCAACGUUACUGAGAAUAAAGUUGUUGCUGCAAACACUAAGUAUGGUGAAAUAUUAAAAUCAAAAUCCUCAAAAGUUACAUGAGCAGGUGGAGAAAAUAAAUCUCAAAUUACGAGCAAAUAUUUUUUUCCCCCAGGCUUGUGUGACCAGUUCUGUAAAACUUUAUAACCUGUUUGUUUCACUGUACGUUUCUUGUCAUGACUUUAAUAUUGCAUUGUGGAUAUUAAAUGAAAUAAAAUAAAUAGCGAUGCCAUCCACACAA